rfam:Stegodyphus mimosarum contig70114, whole genome shotgun sequence.
UAAUCGGCUUCUUUCGAAGCCAUCCAGUAAUGCCGGAGCGAUCUG